UUGACCUCAAAUCGGGUGAGACUACCCGCUGAACUUAAGCAUAUCAAUAAGCGGAGGAAAAGAAACUAACAAGGAUUCCCCUAGUAACUGCGAGUGAAGCGGGAAAAGCUCAAAUUUAAAAUCUGGUGGUCUUUUGGCCGUCCGAGUUGUAAUUUAGAGAAGCGUCUUCCGCGCUGGACCGUACACAAGUCUCCUGGAACGGAGCGUCAUAGAGGGUGAGAAUCCCGU
rnacentral:rRNA from 1 species